UAAAAAUAAAAUAAAAGUUUGAGUUGGAACCUUGAAUCGAGUUGUCCUCGCGUCAAUUUGGUGGGAAAAAGAGAUGGAUAAGUCAUUCAUGGAGUUGGACAAGAAGAGGGAGAUCCCAGCCAUUGGACAAGAAAGAAGAAUCUGGCUUAUUGGGGACAUCUACAACCAACGUGGGGAAGAACGAACCAGACGCACCACAGGGAGCAACCUCGGCAUGGAUGGUCAUGUGUGGUGGUUUGGCUGGGGUGGAGGGACCUCCUGCUCUUUUUUUAACAAUUAAUGUCCUGCUCAUCCACUGUGGCGGCAACGAUCUGGGAAAAAUCACAGAUGUGGAGCUCGUCGCCACAAUGAAGCAGUACCUGCUGAACCUCCGUGACAACUUUCCAGGGAUGAAGAUCAUCCUGUCAUCAAUCAAUGAGAGAGGUCACUGGAGGAAAGCAGAUCCAGAAGAUCAACGAGACCCGAAUGUGGGUGAACAGAGUGAUGGGCACAUUUGUCACUGAUUUGGGCGGAAACAGCGUAAAACAUCCUUGCAUAAAGUUUGACUGCCCUGGUAUAUUUAGAAGAGAUGGAGUUCAUUUCACCAAUGUGGGGAAUGAUAUUUUUUUAAGUAGCAUUACACAGUCUCUUGAGGCUACAAUCAAACGUGGGUAAGUUUCUUGAUCGAAUUUUGGACCCCAAUGACCCCGUUCUGGAUUUUAUUCUCAACAGGAUCUGUAUUUCUACUGUAUGAAAAACAUACUUGUAAAUAUGACAGGGCAGACAUCUUUGUGUAAGGAUAAGUCUCCAGCUUUUUUAUAUAGUUAAAUUAUAACCAGAAUAUUUUACUAUUUAAAUGACUUUUGUUCAUCACUCUAUUCACCUACAUUCUGUGCUUUCUCUCACUACACCCUUUCUUCCCUCUCAUGGUGCUUGAGACAUUAUACACUGCAUUCAUACACCACUAAUUUGUGAAUUAGUUUGUGUUAAGCAUUGUACACCCACACAAAUGUGUACAAUAAUUAACGUUAACCCGACCUUGUAAUAAAGCCAAAUAUUACAUAAUAA